CCGCCACCGCCACCGCCGCUGGAGCCUCGCCUCCGCCCGGAGCCAUGGCCGCGCUCGGCCACCCCGCCGUCUUCGGCCGGGCCACCCACGCCGUGGUGCGGGCGCUGCCCGAGUCCCUGUGCCAGCACGCGCUGAGGCGCGACAAGGGCGACGAGGUGGAUUUCGCCCGCGCCGAGCGGCAGCACCAGCUCUACGUGGACGUGCUGGGCAGCAAGCUGGGGCUGCAGGUGGUGACGCUGCCGGCCGACGAGAGCCUCCCGGACUGCGUGUUCGUGGAGGACGUGGCCGUGGUGUGCGAGGAGACGGCUCUCAUCACCCGCCCCGGGGCGCCGAGCCGGAGGAAGGAGGUAACUGCCCGCCCGGCGACGCGAGGGCGCGGCCGGGGACGCGCGGGGCCCUCCCCUUACCGCCCGGACCGGAGUGGCCCGGGGAAAUCUCGGCACUGGCCCCCGGGCUAG